GAGAAGAACGUAGCGAAAUGCGAUAAGUAAUGUGAAUUGCAGAAUUCAGUGAAUCAUCGAAUCUUUGAACGCACAUUGCGCCCGCCAGUAUUCUGGCGGGCAUGCCUGUUCGAGCGUCAUUUCAACCAUCAAGCCCCCGGCUUGUGUUGGGGACCUGCGGCUGCCGCAGGCCCUGAAAUGCAGUGGCGGGCUCGCUGUCACUCCGAGCGUAGUAGUUACAUCUCGCUCUGGGCGUGCUGCGGGUUCCGGCCGUUAAAAGCCUUAUUUACCCAAGGUUGACCUCGGAUCAGGUAGGAAGACCCGCUGAACUUAAGCAUAUCAAUAAGCGGAGGA
rnacentral:misc_RNA from 1 species